AUAAAUACAUACACGGCACAAAGUGGAUGCCUUGACUCGAAUAUCCGAUGAAGGACGCGCAAGACUGCGAUAAGCCUGGGUAAGUUGUCACGAAACGUUACAGCCCAGGAUUUCCGAAUGGGGGAACCCUAUCCAUCAAGAUGGAUAACCUGAUUAGGAGGACACCAGCCGAAUUGAAAUAUCUUAGUAAGCUGGGAAAAGAAAUCAACCGAGAUUCCGAAAGUAGUGACGAGCGAAAUUGGAACAGCCCAAACCUGUACGGUGCCAAGGAUGAGCCCGUUGCCGUACGGGGGUUACACGACAUAUCACCGCAAAGCUCAUAUAGCGAUACUGAUAUAUAAUUACAGAAAAAUUACCUGGAAAGGUAGGCCAAAGAGGGUAAUAGCCCCGUAUUCGAAAUAAUCUGUAUAUUCGGUACGAUAUGCUCGUAAGUAGUAUCGGACACGUGAAAUCCGGUAUGAAGUUAGGUCGACCACGAUCUAAGGCUAAAGAGUAUUCGAGAUCGAUAGUGAACAAGUACUGUGAAGGAAAGGUGAAAAGAACCCCGGGAGGGGAGUGAAAUAGAUCCUGAAACUUUGUGCUUACAAAGAGUCGGAGCGCUUCGGCGUGACGGCGUGCCUUUUGGAGAAGGAACCAACGACUUACGUAUACGUGGCAAGGUUAAGACAGAUAUAGUCGGAGCCGAAGGGAAACCAAGUCUGAAUAGGGCGAUUUUAGUCACGUAUAGUAAACCCGAAACCCGUGUGAGCUAUUCAUGGCCAGGCUGAAGGUGGGGUAACACCUACUGGAGGGCCGAACCAAUUGGAGCUGCAAGUCCACUGGAUGAGCUGUGAAUAGGAGUGAAAAGCUAAUCGAACCGGGAGAUAGCUGGCUCUCCGCGAAAUAUAUUUAGGUAUAGCGUAUAAUAGUAACCAAGAGGGGUAGGGCUCUGAUAAGACUAGCGGGUUUAUUCCAACUUAGCAAAUCUUGAUAAACUUCGAAUACUCUUGGCGGAAUAUUAUACAGUCGGACAGUGACGGAUAAGCGCCAUUGUCAAAAGGGAAACAGCCCAGAUUCCUAUCUAAGGUCCCCAAGUUAUAACUCAGUGGAAAAGGAUGUGCGAUUACUAAGACAGCCAGGAUGUUGGCUUAGAAGCAGCCACUCAUUCAAAGAGUGCGUAAUAGCUCACUGGUCGAGUGAUUGUGCGCCGAAAAUUCAGCGGGGCUUAAGUUAUACACCGAAGAUGGAAGAUUUAUACAUUAGUAUGGAUCGGUAGCGGAGCGUUCUGUAAGCCUGUGAAGCAGUUGGGUAACCACCUGUGGAGGUAUCAGAAGUGCAAAUGUUGGUAUGAGUAACGUAAUGGAGGUGAAAACCCUCCACACCGAAUACCCAAGGUUUCCUGUCCUACGUCAGUCGUGGCAGGGUUAGUCGGUCCUAAGGUGCACCCGAAAGGGGCAAGCCGAUGGAUAUCUGGUUAAUAUUCCAGAACUAUAUACAAGAGGUUAUUACCUAUGUGGGGACGCAUCGCGAAUAUCGGACACUCUCAUGGAUAUGAGUGAAGAGUAAUGCUUUUGGUUGUGUAGGCAAAUCCGCACAACAAUACAAGAGGGUUAUGAUUCCUUACCCAAUACUUCUUCGGAAGGGAUAAGUAAGGUCCUGUGAUAUGAAGGUGCCAAGAAAAGCCACUCUGGGACGAAUGUAUAUAACCGUACCGUAAUCGAACACUCGUGGGUGGAUGUGAGUACAUUAAGGUGGACGGGAUAACUGAGCUUAAGGAACUCUGCAAAACAGCGGUCGUAACUUCGGGAUAAGACCUGCCUCCUCAGCAUUUAUCUGAGAGGCCGCAGCUAACGAGUCCAGGCGACUGUUUACCAAAAACACAGCUCCGUGCUAAAUCGCAAGAUGAUGUAUACGGGGUGAUGCCUGUCCGGUGCCAGAAGAUCACGGGGAGGGGUGCAAGCUCUGAACCUAAGUCCUGGUGAACGACGGCCGUAACUAUAACGGUCCUAAGGUAGCGAAAUUCCUUGUCGGGUAAGUUCC
rnacentral:rRNA from 1 species